rnacentral:sRNA from 1 species
AUUAGUGAGAGACUAUAGAUCUAAAAUAACUUAGUUUUCUUUAAAUUGAGUAAUAAAAAUACAUUUUUGUUUUGCAUCAGCAGAUCCUUAUAGCUGACUAGUAUGAAAACCUGCAAGGACCACUUCAAUACCAGUGCAACUAUUGGCUAUACAGAUACCGCUACUAUUGGCUGUACAGAUACCGCUACUAUUGGCUGUACAGAUACCGCUACUAUUGUAGUCUAGUUAACAAAACAACACAAACGUAAGGGCAUGCUCUAAUGAUUGGCGCUGAACUACUAACUAUAUUCAUCUAAUUAGAAAUACAUCACAGUUAAAAGAAAUGUUGGUGCAUGCUACCAAACAUCUCUUGAGGGCUUUGCAAUACAAUCUCAGAAAAUAUGGUCACUGACUCAAAACGUUGAUUCAAAACAAAAAACGAAGAAGGGGAAAUGGAGAAAACGCGGAACAUCAAAUCAACAGCUAGGAAGUUGGCCUCAUCAUGCAAGACAGCAACUAAGGUUACAUUUCAACAGCUAGGAAGUUGGCCUCAUCAUGCAAGACAGCAACUAAGGUUACAAUAUUUUUUGUUUUGUUUUGCAUAGCACACAUUUUGUUUUUUUCACUCCAAAGAUGUACUGCAUUUUGAUUUAAAGAAAGAUUACGAUUUCACCAUCGAAGAUAGAUAGAAAUAAUAUAAUGCUAUUUUCACUAUAAGAACAGAUGGCAUCAUAUUCCUCAUUACAUUCGAAAUAUAUUUUUUCCAUAGCAAAAAUAUUUCUUCAUAUAGGGUCCAGGCAGAGCUAGCAUUCAUUGCUGUCUGUAUGCUAUAUUACACAGCUUUAGGAAAAAAAAA